CCUAAGACAUGCAAGUCGAACGAAGUGGCCCGAUGAAGAGUGCGAGCUUGCUCAAUCUCGGAUUCGGAUUCCCACUUAGUGGCGCAAGGGUGAGUAACACGUGGGUAAUCUACCUUCGAGUCUGGAAUAACAGUUAGAAAUGAUUGCUAAUGCCGGAUGAUAUCGAGAACGAUACGUCAUUCUUUAUUAAAAGGGGCCUUUAAAGCCUCGCUUGAAGAUGAGCCUGCGCCGUAUUAGCUAGUUGGUGGGGUAAUGGCCUACCAAGGCAACGAUGCGUAGCCGACCUGAGAGGGUGAUCGGCCACACUGGGACUGAGACACGGCCCAGACUCCUACGGGAGACAGCAGUUAGGAAUAUUCGUCAAUGGGGGAAACCCUGAACGAGCAAUGCCGCGUGAAGGAUGAACCGGUCCUAUGGAUUGUAAACUUCUGUUGUUAGGGAAGAACGAGUUGUAUAGGAAAUGAUACAGCAAUGACGGUACCUUUCAAGAAAGCUCCGGCUAACUACGUGCCAGCAGCUGC
rnacentral:rRNA from 1 species